GAUGAAGAACGUAGCGAAAUGCGAUAAGCAAUAUGAAUUGCAGAUUUUCGUGAAUCAUCGAAUCUUUGAACGCACAUUGCGCCCUUUGGUAUUCCAAAGGGCAUGCCUGUUUGAGCGUCAUUUCUCUCUCAAAUCUUCGGAUUUGGUUUUGAGUGAUACUCUUAGUCAGACUAGGCGUUUGCUUGAAAUGUAUUGGCAUGAGUGGUACUAGAUAGUGCUAAACUGUUUCAAUGUAUUAGGUUUAUCCAACUCGUUGACCAGUGAAGUAUUUGUUUAUUACACAGGCUCGGCCUUACAACAACAAACAAAGUUUGACCUCAAAUCAGGUAGGACUACCCGCUGAACUUAAGCAUAUCAAUAAGCGGAGGA
rnacentral:misc_RNA from 1 species